ensembl:lncRNA
GUGAGUGUUCAUGGCAGUCAAUUAGAGUGUCUCUGUUUGUGACAGUUGGUAGAUUUGGAAGACUGAAGAUUUGGCUGUGUGAGAGUGUGUGUUGCUCUGUGUGAGAUUGAGAGUGUGUGUGUUGCUCUGUGUGAGAGUGAGAGUGUGUGUGUUGCUCUGUGUGAGAGUGAGAGUGUGUGUGUUGCUCUGUGUGCAGUGCAGUCCCACUCCCCUCGUUCCUGGUUCUUGACUGGAGGGUUUAGCGGACGCUGGAGGGCAACGGAGACCCCCCACCUCCUCAUUGGUACUCACUACCCUGAGAGGAGAGGAGGGAAGAGACAGAGAGAGAGACUGAGAGGUAGGGAGAGGGACUGAGAGACAGAGAGAAAGACUGAGAGGUAGGGAGAGGGACUGAGAGACAGAGAGAAAGACUGAGAGGUAGGGAGAGAGACUGAAAGACAGAGAGAAAGACUGAGAGGUAGGGAGAGGGACUGAGAGAUAGGGAGAAGGAUUGAGAGAGAGAGAGAAAGAUUGAGAGACAGAGAGAGAGACUGAGAGGUAGGGAGAGAGACUGAGAGGUAGGUAGAACAAAGCCAAAAAGGAAGCGUGUGAGAAACAACAAUAAGGAUAGCAGGAUAGACAGAGAGACAAA